rnacentral:rRNA from 1 species
UACGUAGGGUGCAAGCGUUGUCCGGAAUUAUUGGGCGUAAAGAGCUCGUAGGCGGCUUGUCACGUCGAUUGUGAAAGCCCGAGGCUUAACCUCGGGUCUGCAGUCGAUACGGGCUAGCUAGAGUGUGGUAGGGGAGAUCGGAAUUCCUGGUGUAGCGGUGAAAUGCGCAGAUAUCAGGAGGAACACCGGUGGCGAAGGCGGAUCUCUGGGCCAUUACUGACGCUGAGGAGCGAAAGCGUGGGGAGCAACAGG